AGGAGGAGAAUGUCGAUGACAUCGGUGACGGUGAGGAACACUUGCGUUGGCCUUGGACAGGACUAGAGCAUACAGUUUCGGACUCGGCCGCAUCUCUUCGAGCCUCGCCCCUUCUUCGGCAACUGCCUAAUGGUCGGGAUUAGGAUUCGCUUGGACAGGCUCUCACGCUUUGUUGUCGCCUUCCUUGGAUCGCACUUCAGACACUAGCUCACCCAGGGAACCGCGUGUUUCGUGGCCUUUGCGCCUCUGUCGUUAUCAUUUCACGGAUUUGCUGUGCAUCAUCCUACGUUGACUUGCGCCCAACGCUGGAUAGUGGAUAGUGGUUCUUGGUCUGGUCUGGUCCGAUCCGAUCCGUUCCGGUCUCCCUCUGUCUCGCCUCUCAGUGGGCGAAAAUUCAUAAGCCCCGACUAUAGCCCACACCCGCAUCAUUUGCAUGAACUUUCGUUAACCUAAUAAACUACUGUAAUACCAACAAAGAAAUUUUAGAACACA